AUUGAACGCUGGCGGCAUGCCUUACACAUGCAAGUCGAACGGCAGCACGGGAGCAAUCCUGGUGGCGAGUGGCGAACGGGUGAGUAAUGUAUCGGAACGUGCCCAGUCGUGGGGGAUAACGCCGCGAAAGCUGUGCUAAUACCGCAUACGGUCUAUGGAUGAAAGCGGGGGAUCGCAAUACCUCGCGCGAUUGGAGCGGCCGAUAUCAGAGUAGGUAGUUGGUGGGGUAAAGGCCCACCAAGCCGACGAUCUGUAGCUGGUCUGAGAGGACGACCAGCCACACUGGAACUGAGACACGGUCCAGACUCCUACGGGAGGCAGCAGUGGGGAAUUUUGGACAAUGGGCGCAAGCCUGAUCCAGCAAUGCCGCGUGCAGGAUGAAGGCCUUCGGGUUGUAAACUGCUUUUGUACGGAACGAGACGGUUCUCUCUAAUACAGGGGGCUAAUGACGGUACCGUAAGAAUAAGCACCGGCUAACUACGUGCCAGCAGCCGCAGUAA
rnacentral:rRNA from 1 species